rnacentral:rRNA from 1 species
GGGGUAAAAUUAAUAAAUUAUAAAUAAUAAAAAAAAAUUUAAUAUUAGGGGUAUUAAAGUAUUUUUUAGAAAAAAUAUAAUUUUUAUAGUUAAUUAGUAUUGUAAAAUAAUUUUGAAAUAAAUGAAAAUAAAUUAAUUAAAAAGUAGUUUUUAAUUAAUGUAUCUUGUGUAUCAGAGUUUAUUAAAAAAUAUUUUUUUUUAAAAAAAAUCUCGAAUUUAAAAGGGUUAAUUAAUUAAAAAAUUUAAUGUUGAAUAAUUAUUUUAAAUAAUUAAUUAGAAAUGAAAUGUUAAUCGUUUUUAAAUAUAUCUAGUUUAUUUAGAAAUAAAUUUAAUUUAAAAUUUAAAAAAUUUUAUUAUAAUUUAUAAAAUAAUAAAAUUUUAAAAUUAAAUGUAUUAAGGGAUAAGCUUUAGUAUAAAAUUUUAUAAUUAAUUUAAAAUAAUAAUAAAAAUUUUAAAAUUUAUAUUGUUUAAAAAUUUUAAUUUAUUAUAAAAAAUUUUAUUUUUAUAAAAAUUUAAAUAAAUUUAAUUUUUUAUAAAUAAAUAAUUUUUAAUAAAAAAAAAUUAGAAAUAAUGAUGAAAUUAGUAUAUUAAAUUAAAAUAAAAUUUAUUUAACUAUAAUUAAAUAAAAGGAAUUCGGCAAAUAUUUAUAUUCACUUGUUUAUCAAAAACAUGUCUUUUAGAAAAUAAUUUAAAGUCUAAUCUGCCCACUGAUAAAAUAUUAAAGGGCUGCAGUAUAUUGACUGUACAAAGGUAGCAUAAUCAUUAGUCUUUUAAUUGAAGACUUGUAUGAAAGAUUUGAUGAGAUAUAAACUGUCUCUAAUUUAUAUUAUAAAAUUUAAUUUUUUAGUUAAAAAGCUAAAAUUUAUUUAAAAGACGAGAAGACCCUAUAGAGUUUUAUAUUAAAAUUAUUUAAGAUUAUAUUUAUAAAUAAAAAUUAAAAAUAAUAAAAAUAUUUUGUUGGGGUGAUAAAAAAAUUAAAAUAACUUUUUUUAAAUAAAUAAUACAUAAAUAAGUGAAAAAUUGAUCCAUUAUUUAUGAUUAGAAGAAAAAAUUACCUUAGGGAUAACAGCGUAAUAUUUUUUUUUAGUACAAAUAAAAAAAAAAGUUUGCGACCUCGAUGUUGGAUUAAGAUAAAAUUUAAAUGCAAAAGUUUAAAAUUUUGAUCUGUUCGAUCAUUAAAAUCUUACAUGAUCUGAGUUCAAACCGGUGUGAGCCAGGUUGGUUUCUAUCUUUAAAACUUAAAAAUAUUUUAGUACGAAAGGAUCAAAUAUUGUUAAUAAUUAAAUUUAAAUUGAAUAUUAAUAAUUUAAUAUUAUAU